AGAGUUUGAUCCUGGCUCAGGAUGAACGCUAGCGGCAGGCUUAAUACAUGCAAGUCGUGGGGCAGCAGGGGUAGCAAUACCCGCUGGCGACCGGCAAACGGGUGCGGAACACGUACGCAACCUUCCUUUAACUGGAGAAUAGCCCCUCGAAAGAGGGAUUAAUACUCCGUAACAUGUACAUGUGGCAUCACAAGUACAUUAUAGCUCCGGCGGUUAAAGAUGGGCGUGCGCCUGAUUAGAUAGUUGGCGGGGUAACGGCCCACCAAGUCUGCGAUCAGUAACUGGUGUGAGAGCACGACCAGUCACACGGGCACUGAGACACGGGCCCGACUCCUACGGGGGGCAGCAGUAAGGAAUAUUGGUCAAUGGACGCAAGUCUGAACCAGCCAUGCCGCGUGGAGGAUUAAGGCCCUCUGGGUUGUAAACUCCUUUUAUCUGGGAAGAAAUCCGGGAAUUCGUUUCCGGUUGACGGUACCAGAGGAAUAAGCACCGGCUAACUCCGUGCCAGCAGCCGCGGUAAUACGGAGGGUGCAAGCGUUAUCCGGAUUCACUGGGUUUAAAGGGUGCGUAGGCGGGCAGGUAAGUCCG
rnacentral:rRNA from 1 species